rnacentral:rRNA from 1 species
AGAACGAACGCUGGCGGCAUGCCUAAUACAUGCAAGUCGAACGAACACUUCGGUGUUAGUGGCGCACGGGUGCGUAACGCGUGGGAAUCUGCCCUUGGGUUCGGAAUAACAGUUGGAAACGACUGCUAAUACCGGAUGAUAUCGAAAGAUCAAAGAUUUAUCGCCCAGGGAUGAGCCCGCGUAGGAUUAGCUAGUUGGUGAAGGUAAAGGCUCA